rnacentral:misc_RNA from 1 species
UUUGUAUCUUGAUGUUUGCUGUAGCGUUUUGGUGCCUUUCUCUGGAUUGGUAGUUGUUAAAAAAUUUUUUCUUUUUCUUAUGACGGUCUUUGUUGGGGAUGAAAGUUUCGGUUUUUUAUAAGGGGUUGUUAAUGGUUCUUCCCUUUUUGUGCUAAUUUCUUAUUUUAAUUGAUUUGUUGAAAUUGGAAUGUGUUGGAUAUUUUGCAUUGAAGUUUUCCAUAAUGAUUGCUUGUUCAUUUCAUUUUCUUCAAGUUUAUUUGGUAACUGAAUGGAGCACCAAAUUCAAAGAAAA